AGAUUGAACGCUGGCGGCAUGCCUUACACAUGCAAGUCGAACGGUAACGCGGGGCAACCUGGCGACGAGUGGCGAACGGGUGAGUAAUGCAUCGGAGCGUGCCCAAUAGUGGGGGAUAGCUCGGCGAAAGCCGGAUUAAUACCGCAUACGACCUACGGGUGAAAGCGGGGGAUCGCAAGACCUCGCGCUAAUGGAGCGGCCGAUGUCAGAUUAGGUUGUUGGUGGGGUAAAAGCCUACCAAGCCGACGAUCUGUAGCUGGUCUGAGAGGACGACCAGCCACACUGGGACUGAGACACGGCCCAGACUCCUACGGGAGGCAGCAGUGGGGAAUCUUGCGCAAUGGCCGAAAGGCUGACGCAGCGACGCCGCGUGUGGGAGGACGCCGUUUCGGGGUGUAAACCACUGUUGCCCGGGACGAACAUCCCUUUUCGAGGGACUGACGGUACCGGUGAGGAAGCACCGGCUAACUCCGUGCCAGCAGCCGC
rnacentral:rRNA from 1 species